rnacentral:misc_RNA from 1 species
UUUGGUGGUGGCUUCUCUCCCUUUUCUUUUCCCUUGUGCAAAUCCUCAGUUACUUCUUCCUCAGUUAGAAGAUGUCCAUGAUGUCCAUGAUGUGGCUUAUGUUUUGGUGGUGGUUUAUAUCCCUUACCCUUAUGGUCUUCCUCCACGACAUCCUCAACUUCCAAAAGGCUUCUAUGUCCUGGUGGAGGCUUAUGUGGUGGUUUGUG